rnacentral:rRNA from 1 species
AACGAACGCUGGCGGCAUGCCUAACACAUGCAAGUCGAACGAGACCUUCGGGUCUAGUGGCGCACGGGUGCGUAACGCGUGGGAAUCUGCCCUUGGGUUCGGAAUAACAGUUAGAAAUGACUGCUAAUACCGGAUAAUGUCUUCGGACCAAAGAUUUAUCGCCCAGGGAUGAGCCCGCGUAGGAUUAGCUAGUUGGUGAGGUAAAGGCUCACCAAGGCGACGAUCCUUAGCUGGUCUGAGAGGAUGAUCAGCCACACUGGGACUGAGACACGGCCCAGACUCCUACGGGAGGCAGCAGUGGGGGAAUAUUGGACGAAUGGGCGAAAGCCUGAUCAGCAAUGCCGCGUGAGUGAU